rnacentral:RNase_P_RNA from 1 species
AAAGCAGGCUUACCUUAUCGCCACAUCUACGAUGUGGAGGAAAGUCCGGACACCAUAGAGAAGCACAGUGGAUAACAUCCAUCCGAUGUAAAUCGAGGACCAGUGCAACAGAAAGAAUGUACAGCCAGGCUGUAGUGAAAUCAGGUAAACUCUGUGCGGUGCAAUGCCACGUAUAUUAGAAAUGGAGAGCGUCUCGUUCGAUUCUAAGGGGUAGGCAGAUAGAUUUUAAAAGUAAUUUUAAAACCAGAUAAAUGAUAAGGACUCUUUUUUAAAGAGAACAGAAUCCGGCUUAUAAGCCUGCUUUUACA